rnacentral:rRNA from 1 species
AGUGAACGCUGGCGGCAGGCCUAACACAUGCAAGUCGAACGGCAGCACAGUGGAGCUUGCUCCAUGGGUGGCGAGUGGCGGACGGGUGAGGAAUACAUCGGAAUCUGCCCAGUCGUGGGGGAUAACAUAGGGAAACUUAUGCUAAUACCGCAUACGACCUACGGGUGAAAGCGGGGGAUCGCAAGACCUCGCGCGAUUGGAUGAGCCGAUGGCCGAUUAGCCAGUUGGCGGGGUAAUGGCCCACCAAGGCGACGAUCGGUAGCUGGUCUGAGAGGAUGAUCAGCCACACUGGAACUGAGACACGGUCCAGACUCCUACGGGAGGCAGCAGUGGGGAAUAUUGGACAAUGGGCGCAAGCCUGAUCCAGCCAUGCCGCGUGGGUGAAGAAGGCCUUCGGGUUGUAAAGCCCUUUUGUCCGGAAAGAAAAGCCUCGGAUUAAUACCCUGGGGUGAUGACGGUACCGGAAGAAUAAGCACCGGCUAACUUCGUGCCAGCCGCCGCAGUAAGAC